CAAUCUUCCCCCUGGAAAACAAAUCUCGUCGGAAGAAACGUCAAUUUCCCCAUCUUUCUUCACUGAUGGAUGGUUUUCUAUGUUGUCAUCAUAAUAUAGAAGUAUUACAUCUCUUAUUGCAGAUUGGAUUAUAGACGGAUCAAGUGCUUGUUUCUCGACAUAAUCUGUGUCAACUGAUAAACAUGGAGGUUGGUUACCUGCUAGCCUACAAGCACCUGAAAUGGAGGGUAUCAGUUGCAAUCAAAGAACUGCUCGCUGGCCCAGAUAAAAUAAAUUGGUGCUCGGUGCUCCCGCAACACAAGCAUCAUUGUUUUGCCACCGCCUGAGAAGCAAAAGAUUUGAGAUCUUUUAGCGCGUGGGGAAUUAAUGACCAAGAAAUAUCUCAAGUUCCUUCUCUUCAUAAGGCUCAGCUCGGUAAACUUCUAUCCAAGCUCAAAAUACUUCACAACCUUGGAUUCAGCUCGUCAGACCUGGUCAAGAAUGUUAGCGCCAUUUUACUAAAAUGUAGAAUCAAUCAAUGUUUUGGUGAUCGACAUCAAUUUACAUCAAUACCUAAAAUCCUUGUUUUGAUCAAGAAAAAAUGCUUCAGAAGAGGAUUCUCAAGAACCCUUGCCUUGUGAUUUUUGAUUGAAGAUACAGAUUAAAUCACUGUUGAUCCAUAUGAAUCUAUGCGUAUAAGUGGAGAUGAUUUGAUUUGAUGCUUCUUGCGUCCAACCUAAUUCUUUUGAGACCACAGAUCUCUGAGAAGUCGGAGUAUGUUAAAAAAACAGGCAACGUUGAUGAUUACAAGCUGUAGAAAUAUGCGGUUAUCCUUAUGGCCAUUUUACUUGGAGAUAAUCUGUGAGAAGACAAGAACUUCAAAAAUCUGGGUUUGAAGAAAACGAGAUGUUUUGGCCUGUUUGUGGCGCAGGGUUGGUAAAGUUCAAAGGAACAUGGCUCUUGGGUGGCUCGUAUGAAGCCAUCUGCAAGAGUAAUACUAAGUUACCAUUUUUGCUUUUUAACAAUUUGGAGAACAUGUUAAAAUCCGUGGAUCUAGCGGUGAAGAUAGAUGAGUUGUGUCUGAUCCUGCAGAUCACGGGGCAGAUGGUGGGGUUGAAUGUUUUUAGGGCAUAAGGAUAGCAGAGAGGAGGUCCAUGAAGGCGUUUAUCAAGCGUCACCCUGUAGAAUUUUAAGGAAUUUGUUGAAGAAUUAAAAAGGAAACUGGAUGUAAAGGAUCUCCUUUCUGAUCUGCUCUUAGGUGAAGGUAUGUCCCUAACUUUUCACGAAUUGUUCCAUUACAAUUAUAUGUUUCAUUUGGUUUGUUGAUGCAUCUGCUUAGAUCACAAUGUUUAGAAUCGUACAAUAAAGAAUUGUGAGAUUUAAGAUUGGUAAUUGAUUCCAUGCCGUUGAUUAUAAUA